UACGUAGGGGCCUAGCGUUGUCCGGAUUUAUUGGGCGUAAAGAGCUCGUAGGCGGUUCGGCAAGUCGGAUGUGAAAUCUCCACGCUUAACGUGGAGGGGCCAUUCGAAACUGCCGUGACUCGAGUCCGGUAGGGGAGUGUGGAAUUCCCGGUGUAGCGGUGAAAUGCGCAGAUAUCGGGAGGAACACCAGUAGCGAAGGCGGCUCACUGGCCCGGUACUGACGCUGAGGUGCGAAAGCGUGGGGAGCAAACAGG
rnacentral:rRNA from 1 species